AUUGAACGCUGGCGGCAUGCCUAACACAUGCAAGUCGAACGGGGCAGCAAUGCCUAGUGGCGGACGGGUGAGGAAUACGUAGGAAUCUGCCCUUAAGUGGGGGAUAACCAGGGGAAACCCUGACUAAUACCGCAUGAUCUCUUCGGAGCAAAGAGGGGGACCGCAAGGCCUCUCGCUUCUGGAUGAGCCUACGUCUGAUUAGCUAGUUGGUAGGGUAAAGGCCUACCAAGGCGACGAUCAGUAGCUGGUCUGAGAGGAUGAUCAGCCACAUUGGGAGUGAGACACGGCCCAAACUCCUACGGGAGGCAGCAGUGGGGAAUAGUGGACAAUUGGCGCAAGCCUGCUGCAGCAACGCCGCGUGCGGGAUGACGGCCUUCGGGUUGUAAACCGCUUUUAGUAAGGAAGAAGGGGAGUUUUGCUCCUUGACGGUACUUGCAGAAAAAGGACCGGCUAACUACGUGCCAGCAGCCGCAGUAACAC
rnacentral:rRNA from 1 species